rnacentral:lncRNA from 1 species
UUUAUUUAUAAGCCCUUUAUGUGGUGUCGCAUAGACGCCCGACUGUGGCAUGCUUGUUAUUUCUUUUAUUUAUAAGCCUUUAUGUGGUGUCGCAUAGACGCCCGACUGUGGCAUGUUUGUUAUUUCUUUUAUUUAUAAGCCCUUUAUGUGGUGUCGCCCAGACGCCCGAUUGCGGCAUUGUUAAUUUAUUUGCACCCUUUUUCGAGGAGUCAUUUCAGACACUCGAUCACUACAUUCUAUUUCUAUAUUGCAUAUUCAUAUUUUACCCACAUGCGUGCAUCAUGGAUUUCGUAUAUUUCGUGAUAGACGUUGUGAUCAUAGAAUAUUUCGGAGCAUGUUUUGAUAUAUUAUACCCGUGUUAUUGAUGUUUGCGAGUACAUUCAAACGUAUUCACUGGCUUGUCCCUGGCUAUUGUCUUGGCCAGAUUUUCUUGCGUGGAGAAGAGCGCUACGACGACAGCCCCGGAACCUACGCAGUAUUGACAGCAGCCUCGCGAAGAUAGGAGUUAUCCUGGUCAGCUGUUCUUGUGGGAAAUGGAGUCCCAUAGGCGCAGAUGCACCACAAACCGCUUCCGCCAUCAACCACUAGAAACCAAAUGUUGUACUCCUAGGCCACAAUGGUCUUGUACUACAUAUUUUUGUACUUUGCUUGGAAUUCUUGUAUCAAGUUGGUGCCUCACCAGCUAACAGUAAUCCUUGGGCUGGUGAGCAUAAGGGCCAUUUUCUGGAGAAUUAAUAUCCCGAAAAUCCGUUCCUGACAGACUUGGUAUUAGAGCCAGGCUAACCAUUGGCUGAUCCUAUCUUAGCCUGGUCAAUAAACCUAGGUUAACCAACCCAUCAGACCUUAACCCAACCCGGGCCAAGCUUCUCGUGUAAGAUAGCCACACAGUGACCCCGACGCUUUUGGCAGUCGGUGCCCAACCUAUCAGCCUAGCCUGUCGAUCACGCGCCAGUGACCGACAUCUAACAUGUCUCAUUCGCAAGCGUGCGAAGGAAGACUCCGCCCCUUUUUCUAUAAAAAGGGUGCGCUAGCCUCAACCCAGCACAGCACAGCCUCUUUCCCAAACCCAGUCACGAUGCCUGGCCCCAUUGUUCACAAUGAGACCACAGCAACCAACCUUGGAGGUUUUGUGACCGUGCUCGCAAACCUCACCCGCCGUGCCUAUGCAUUAGAAGAGCCCCCAGAAUAUGUUGUGUACCAAGAGCUCAUGAGCGGUGAGAGCCGUCAGUUCUGGGCCACUGUACACAUUUAUGGUAGGGGUCUAUCGCCAGAACGCCCCUACAGGUUCGCUGGAAAGACCACUUCCUUUCAGCCGCAAGCCAUCCAACUGGCAGCUCGAGAAGCUAUAGUUCAGCUCCGGCACUUGUCGCCCAGAGUUAACUGUCGCUCGUUCUACUACUACCCCAGUCGUAGCGGGUAUGGUAGGCCGCCCCAGGUUGCCAACGGAGAUCACGAGACGGAUCCUGCACUAUUGCAUCUGGUGCGCUAUAUAAGUGCACUAGAGGAACUGUUCGAUCAAAUCACCCUUGAUCUAAUCGCAGCUCGUGGAGAACUAUUUCGCCGAGCCCCGACGAGAGGAGAAGGGGAGCCCGACGCCGACAACCCAGUCGUGCUGUUCGGACACCCAAUCGAGCCCUUGACGUCUGCUCCAGCCAUCGACCAAAAUACGUUGGUGUCCCCAGAAGCGCUUCGUCGCCUUUUGGGAACACGCUCCAACGGGAUUGUAGCCAACAACCCCCGCGAUGGUCAUCAUCGCUACCCCGACCCUGCAGCCCCUCAACCUCAUCCGGCUAAUCCCGACGGUGAAACCCGUGGAGAGGUUUCGACAUCCGCAAGGCCAGCCCGCUUAGAUAUUAACGGAGUAGACUAAGUCACUCGAGUAGUAACGAGCCUUAAUAUUUCUACGCCUUGUAAUUGUGUGAUCCUGUAUCACCAUUAUUAAAGGAUGUCUGCUUGUGCGCCCCCUUACCAGAGACGUUUUCUCAGGACCCUGUCCUUUUGCCCUUUUCAUUGUAAACGUCAUAGCUAUGUUUAUUUGUGUGUUGCAGCUUAUGUUUGUACCCUAAGUUUGUGCUAUGAGCAAACUCUUGUUUUCAACUUAUGCGGGUAUUUUUUUUUUAAAUCAACCCUUAGCAAAUCUCGAGGACGAGAUUUUUCUUAAGGGGGGUAGUGUUGUAACAACCCAAAAUUUUGACCCUGUUUUAUUAAUUAAAAUUUUGCCAGGAAAUUAAUUUUUUUAUUUUCCUGGAUUUCUCCUUUGAUUUCAGAACCCCUCUUCUCUUUAAUAUUGUGGGUUUUUACCUCAAGUGGAAACUUUCCAAGAGUAUUAUUGGACUUAUAUGCUCUCUUUAUAAAAUCAAUUCUAUAUCAGUGGAUUUAUUUGCAUAAUUAAUUUUCAUGAGCUUUAUUCUUUUAAAAUGAUCUUUCAUAAAUUUGGAGCCCCUUUUUGCACUACAACCUUUUGAUAAAUGCAUUUAAAAUUUUCACCAAAAUUCGGGGAUGACAUGUGAGGUUUCCACAUCACUUUUAUGCAAAAACAUCUUUUGGUUAUUGGAGAUUUUGAGCUCUACAUCAAUUUUUCAAAUCUGGUCCAGUAGGUAUUUUUGCACUACAACCUAUUUGAAUAUUCCUCUAAAAAUUCUUCCAAGUGCUUGGAGAUGUCAGUGGGUGCUCAUAAUUCAACUUCAUGCAAAAACCCAGUGUUGUUCUUUGAAAAAUUUGAGUGAAUCAACCUCAUCUUCAUUCUGGUCCAGUUUGGUGAUUUGUACUGCAACCCUAUUUUAUUUUGCUCUAGUGCCCAUUAGCUUUUUCCUACUUAUAGUUCUCCCUACCAAACCCUUAAGUCCAGGAGAUUGGACCCAUUGGAGUAUUUUUGGUGCAUGCAAUGAUAGCCUUUAGUUUCUGCCCAAAACUGGUUUUUCUCAAAAACUUGCACUAACAAAUUUUUGUUUUUGCCAAACUAACCUUACCACCUUCUUUAGCUCCUAAAGAGACUAGUAUCUGGAGAGUUUGGCCACCCCAAGAGUUGCGUAGAUGCCCACGGCAUUCUGUCGAACACCCUGUGUGCAGGGACAGUUUUGGCAUGUUUUCUAGUUUGCAAUGUGAGCUUGAGCCCCUGACCCAUCCAGCAUGUCCACUAACCUCCUAGCUAUCCCUAACCCCGGCCUGUUAACUACCAGCAUCACCCAAGCUCUCUAGCAUGAGCUGGCAUUUCGUCGAGCACCUGGUGUGCGUGCUCUGGCGCGGCCAGAGCGCGCGUUUUGCACGUGCGUGCGCACGGGUCGCCGCGUCGCACCCCUGGCCCUUGCUCGCCUGCAGAGCCGCGCCAUGCACUCGCCCACUCACCGGAAACCUCCAAGCCUCCCUGGCGCCCUACAGCGCCGCCGUCAGGGCUCCCUUGGCGGCACGCCGGCGUCGGCAGCGGGCUCUGCCGUGGACGGCGCCGCCCAAGCCACCCGCGUGCGCCAGCUGCCCCCUGGGAACAGCCCGAGCUUAUCCGCAAGCCGUCGGCACGCGCUCGUCGCCGCCACGUAGCCCUGCAACCACAGUACAGCGGUCGCCGGCGAUCUUAUCCUCGGCCGCCGCGGGACCGACCUCGAGUGCCUAUAUAAGGGGACCCCGAGCUCAACCGAGCACUCAGGCAACCCCAGGCCACCCCCAUAGUACUCCCGCAGCCAGCAAUCGACGGGGAGGGGCCUUCUUCCUCGUCUCCGGCCAGUUCGGCCGCCGCCGAGCUCUGGUGCAAUACGUCACAGCCAGGCCCUCCCCCGCCCAUCCAACGCCACCAACCGUCUCCCCAUAGUCAUGCGGAGCUGCCUAGCGCCUCAGCCUCGACCAAGGACUACCAUAGCCCGAAGCUCACUUUGCUCCCGAACCUCCGUCCGCCGCGGAGCUCGCCACCGGUGACUUCCUCCGUCCCCACCUGCCUAGCGCCCACCGAGAGGACCGCCCCGGUCUGGCGGAUCCAUACCUGCCCUCGGGGCCCUGUGGGGAGCUGCCGUUCGCCGACGGCGAUCGCCGGAGCCCCGCCCCUUUCGGGCAGAGAGAAAGGAGGGAGAGGAGGACCAGUCAAACCUGACCAGUGGGCCCGCUGGACCCACUGUCAGUGACCCGCGCGCCCGUCCUCUCUGGUUAAGUGAUAGCGCAAAGUCCCGAGUACGUCUCCUCUGCUUCGAAAGCGUAUUUUCCCCCGAAACGUUUUCUUUUCUGGUUUUAUUUAAAAACAGAACUUUGACUAAUCUUUGGCUGGCUAUAACUUUUAAAAUAAAACUCCAAAUGAGUUGAUUCUUUUUCCUACCUCUCUCAAAUUUCAUCUAGUUUAUUUUAAGAUUUAUUUCAAAAAUAUUUGGGUCAACUUUUUGUACUGUUUUUGAAAUGUGUGUUAUUUGAAUAUUUCUCAAAAUAGGAUUUUGGAGAUAAGGCAACCUUCAAAAAGUGCACCCCCACAUGCAUACACUUGAAGGCAAGCAUUCUGAACCCUGGCUUAAUAUUUUUGGAUGUUGUUGAUACGGUUACAACAUCACCUUGACUUGGAGCAUACGCUAUUUUAUGUGACGAUAAACUCAAACGCAUGAGUGCAAUAAAUGGAGAUUUCUUUGCUGUUAUAAAUGAAUAUGCCGGUAAUAGUGAUCAUCCUCGUAAGCUUCUCAUGCAUACCGGAAGGAAGUCGGGAAAGUCGCGGUCUUGGGUAGACGCGAACUUGUCCCUAGUUCCUCGUUGAGACGAGUAUGCCCGGUAUGGCAUGGUGAGGCCUGUUGAGUGUUAAGCUUAUCUGUUAUUGGAAAUAUUUUUGAUAAUCAUGCAGGGAAUACUUGAACCUCCCGAGUUGGCCGUAGAUCGAGUCUUGUUGCAGUAACCCCCAUACUUGCUUCGUACUACCACUUGUCCCUGCCAUAGGUAGGGUACGGUUCAGUAAGUUGUCAACCCCUUUCUAGCACACACCGUACAGAGAGGCCGUGAUGAGGGUCCCAUGGCCAUGGAUUAAAGCCAGUCAUCCGGUCCGGGGGCAUGGGUGUUUCGGUUGUAGCCGAAGGGGUAGCUCCCCUAGUUUGCGCGCGGUAUAAAUUUUGUGAUCCCAUGCUACGUCGAGGUUGUAGCCUCCCCACUUAGAGUUUCGCUUGACAGGUGUCGUGGGUGAUUCCAGGCAUCGGUAAGUUAAGCUAGUGUGUGCAGGUCAGGCGUGUUUUCAAUUAAAAGACCGUAGACGGAAUUAGUCCCGAUGGGCUAAAGAAAUCCGUUACCCGUGGGUAAAGAGUACACCCUCUGCAGAGAUUAUACAUCUAUUCAAAUAGCCGUGUCCAUGGUUAAGGACUACAGUCUGGGAUGGGUCAAGUGUCGGUCUUAGUGUCGGUCUUCGGAGGAAAAACUGUUAAACCAGAACUUGGAUCAUGACUUGUGACUUGUGAUGAUUAUGAUUACUAUUAUUAUGGACUAACCAUUUACAUUAUUUGAAUUAUUGCGUAUCCCUGGGACGGUUCUACCUCCUGGAUACCCACUGCAAAUAUUCUAUUAUAAGCCCUUUAUGUGGUGUCGCAUAGACGCCCGACUGUGGCAUGCCUGCUAUUUUCUUUAUGUUGUAAGCCCUUUAUGAGGUGUCGCUCAGACGCCCGACUGCGGCACGCUUAUUAUUUCAUUAUCCUUUAUAAGCCCUUUAUGCGGUGUCGCUCAGACGCCCGACUGUGGCAUGCUUGUUAUUUAUUUUAUUUAUAAGCCCUUUAUGUGGUGUCGCAUAGACGCCCGACUGUGGCAUGCUUGUUAUUUCUUUUAUUUAUAAGCCCUUUAUGCGGUGUCGCAUAGACGCCCGACUGUGGCAUGCUUGUUAUUUCUUUUAUUUAUAAGCCCUUUAUGUGGUGUCGCAUAGACGCCCGACUGUGGCAUGUUUGUUAUUUCUUUUAUUUAUAAGCCCUUUAUGUGGUGUCGCCCAGACGCCCGAUUGUGGCAUUGUUAAUUUAUUUGCACCCUUUUUCGAGGAGUCAUUUCAGACACUCGAUCACUACAUUCUAUUUCUAUAUUGCAUAUUCAUAUUUUACCCACAUGCGUGCAUCAUGGAUUUCGUAUAUUUCGUGACAGACGUUGUGAUCAUAGAAUAUUUCGGAGCAUGUUUUGAUAUAUUAUACCCGUGUUAUUGAUGUUUGCGAGUACAUUCAAACGUACUCACUGGCUUGUCCCUGGCUAUUGUCUUGGCCAGAUUUUCUUGCGUGGAGAAGAGCGCUACGACGACAGCCCCGGAACCUACGCAGUAUUGACAGCAGCCUCGCGAAGAUAGGA